UAGGCGCUUAACAAAUACUCACAUUAUGGUUAUUAUCAGUGCUAUUUACUGAGCGCUUACC
rnacentral:pre_miRNA from 1 species